rfam:Oligella urethralis DNF00040 contig076, whole genome shotgun sequence.
GGUGGGUCCCUUCGCAUAGGUCCAUGGUCAACCUGGUCAGGUCCGGAAGGAAGCAGCCACAGCCAUUCAGACUUAGUGCCGAAGUCAGGCUCACCGCC